GUCAAAAAGUGCUCGCGCGCUUGAAUUUUGGGAAAGAGACGAGCACCGAAACAUAAAAAGAGAAAAAAAAACCUUUUGACUGUCCAGUUUGCCCUAAAAGGAUUGGUUCAACACGCGAGAAGACAUCGUGGCGAGAAACCGUUCAGUUGCAGUGUAUGCACACAGCGACAGGAUGCAGCUGUCAAGCCACACCGAACAUUUUUCAAGAUGGUUGCAGCAUCAAGUUACUGAACAGGAAGCCCGUCUCACUCGAAUGACCACGCAGGAAGUCGGCAAGCAGAAAUAGAUUUCAACUAUUUUUUUCCCUAAACUUUUAGCAGAAAAUAAGAUGCUUGGUGAAAAGAAUAUAACCUGUGUAUGGCUGUCCCUCUCAGACAAGGCAACACAUGAUGAGCAACCAACUAAAACGAGCCUGAGAAUACAUGAGAGAAUUGUAUUCACAAGAAUGUUGAUACAUUUAUGCUCUUGUUCAAAACCAGGGUGAAACCGAACGCGAGUUGUGGUUCCAUUUUUUUUAAGAUGCAUUUAUUAAUUAAAGGGAAGAUGACAAAAUUGAGUGAAGCUAAGAAGGGCGUGAAUUAGCAAAAUAGUUGAAACACAACAUCUGAAAAAAAAUAAUAAUAAUAAUGAUGUGUAAGGACUAGAAGUUUUUAGAAAGCAAAUGUCCUACUAAAACAAAACAUCUAAAUUUGUGGAAAACACAAUAUGACUUUGCUGUCCAGCUCAACAUACACACAAAAUUUUUUUUUAUAGAUAACCUGCAAGAUAAAAUAAGAGAAACACACACACACAAAAACGAAAAAAAACCCAACAACAAAAAAAAUAAGAUGGACUCAAGAUGAUGUGAAAACGGCCAUAAAAGGUAUCACAUCUCAUAAAGUUGAUGUAACAUAAUUCGUCCAGGGAACGGAAGACUUGAGAAACUCUUACCACUUAAAUGAUGUGGAAGUACAACAAAUUUGGAUGACAGCAAAGUACUUUCUCACAGCAGCAGGGAGUUCAAGGGUUAAUAUCUCGCACUUCUACUAGAUUGAAAAAAAAAAAAGCAAUUUUUUUUCUGUCAUUGGAAGAGCAAAAUAAAACAACAAUGAACCAUUUGAAGAAUAUAGAAUUGGAAUAAAUGCAUGUUUUAAAGCAAACAGUGGCAUUCCUGAAGAUCACACUCCAGGGAGUGUGUAUCAAGGGCAAUUAAAAAAAUGCUCUUCAUGUGAAUUCAAAUAAUCCUAUAAAACAAUGGAUUGAAAAACAUUGGGUUGACAAACCGACUGGCAGCCUGUAACAAUGCGUAAACCUAGCACUACGCGCAGAAAGAGUGCUACAAAAUAAGAAAGAGAAAAAGAAAAUUGACACCUUUCUGACACAGAAAGGAGAAAUUUAUGGAGCUUUAUGGGAAACAUUUAAUAAUUGUGUACACCCUGACCUGGUUGCCAGCCAACUGACCCCUCCGUACAGGGCACUUAACCACGCCUCCUGAAGUGACGUCACCCCACACUUGCUAACCUCAGACAAACAAUUAGCAAAAAUGGCGUCGCAGGAAGAAAAGACGAGAGCGAAAUUGUCCGAUUUACCAGCUGAUUUUUCACUCGCAUUCUUACGGAAUAGUGAAAUAUCGUUGAAGAAUAGACAGCGGGGCUUCAAGUAUUUCAGCGAGGGGUAUUUCAAUGGUAUUUACAUGCGUAUCGACAGAGAAACCAUCGAUAUUAGCGCGACAUCUUUCCGGAGUCAGAGGAAGACCGAGAAGCCACAUAAUAUAAUAUAUUAUAGCCCAAAGACGAAUUCAUCAUUGACAGUUUCCUAUUUUCGUGUUACCUAUCACACUUGUGUGCAGAAUCUGUAUGUGUAUCUGUAUAGCUGUUUGUGAACCGCCGUAUGAAGGAAAAGAAAAAGGCGAGGCUUGAUUUACGUGUUGUUUCUCUCGUAUUCUUUGUGUAACGUCACGCGCUCCCCUCAAUAAUUAUUCUUGAAUCAGUGCCGAACCUACGUAAGUCCCGACCGAGUACGACAAUCGCUACUUUAGUGCCCUCAAACAUCCUUCCUUCAGUCUUGGUGUCUCGGUGCACGUCGAAGGCUUUUAGGACUCGCUAGUCCGGUUUAGCUUGGCUCGCUAGCCGGCAACAAAGAGACACGUUUGUGCAGUCAGAUCAUCGCAAAAUAUCACUCAACACAGAUCAAGUGUGUCAAUCAUUCACACGUAGCUAUAUUAUGCAAGCGAAGAAUUGCUAAUUCAUUUAUAUGAGACAUGUAUUGAAAAUCAAAUAUAGGGCUUACCCUUCCGGUUGAUGGAUUCAGUUGAUGAUGCAGUCUUCCACAAAGUUUGAUCCAUCGAAGACAUUUUUCGUACUGGGCCUUCGGUUUUGGAAAGGGUACGAAUUGAACUCCACCAACUAGCCUUUCGGGAUACCUGUUGGCACUAUUAUAAAGUCCGUGACUACACCUCUUAACCAUAUCUAUUGUUAAAGAACCCAAAUACCCGAUAAAACGCUAACAAAAGCUAUACUGGACCAUACAACGUUGUCUGAGGAAACUGCGGGUCCAAAAAGGGGGCCUGGUUUAUGCAGAUCUCUGGCCUCUGAUUGAUUCAGCGACGCGGAUGACGCGAUUUCUACGGAGGGGUCAAUUGGCCGCAUCCAUCUUUGGACCUCCCCUUGGGUUCUCCCGAAGGCGAAGGUCCUCUUGGAAAGAUGGAGAUCUGACAUACAUUGAUGCAAAUGGCAUCCCAACUGCAUACCAGAUGAGUAUAAAUUGGUUAACGAGAUUGCUGCAGGAUGGGAAUCCAUCUUGUUAUGGAUAACUCUGAAUAAAAACGUUGACAGAAUCAACUACAUACAUUACAAUGUACAGAAACUAGGUAAUUAUACGGAAGCAGGCUUUAUUGCCAUUAGGGAAACCCCAGCUGCAACCUCACUCAUGACGUUCCAGAACCGCAUAGCGGUCGACACGCUCCUGGCCGAGAAGGGUGGCGACUGCUCAAUGUUCGGUGACCAGUGUUGUUUAUUCCAAAUAUCACAGCACCUGAUGGGUCACGUACAAGGGCACAAGGGGCAUUCAAGGCCUCCGCACCCUGAACCACAAGAUGAAGGAGCACUCUGGUGUGAACACAUCAGCCAGGUCUGAGUGGUGGGCAACCAUAUCCCGCGUCUGGCGGGAAUGACUGUAGAAUGAAUGUUAU